AACGAACGCUGGCGGCAGGCCUAACACAUGCAAGUCGAGCGAGGACUUCGGUUCUAGCGGCGGACGGGUGAGUAACGCGUGGGAAUGUGCCCUUCUCUACGGAAUAGCCCUGGGAAACUGGGAGUAAUACCGUAUACGCCCUAUUGGGGAAAGAUUUAUCGGAGAAGGAUCAGCCCGCGUUGGAUUAGGUAGUUGGUGGGGUAAUGGCCUACCAAGCCGACGAUCCAUAGCCGGUUUGAGAGGAUGAUCAGCCACACUGGGACUGAGACACGGCCCAGACUCCUACGGGAGGCAGCAGUGGGGAAUCUUAGACAAUGGGGGCAACCCUGAUCUAGCCAUGCCGCGUGAGUGAUGAAGGCCUUAGGGUUGUAAAGCUCUUUCAGCUGGGAAGAUAAUGACGGUACCAGCAGAAGAAGCCCCGGCUAACUCCGUG
rnacentral:rRNA from 1 species